GGAUUGUAGCUCAGUGGUAGAGUGCUUGCCUCGCAUGUGUAAGGCCCUGGGUUCAAUUCUCAGCACCA
rnacentral:tRNA from 1 species